rnacentral:rRNA from 1 species
GAUGAACGCUGGCGGCGCGCCUAACACGUGCGAGUCGAACGAUUAAAGCACCUUCGGGUGUGUAUAAAGUGGCGAACGGCUGAGUAACACGUGGGCAACCUGCCCCUCUCAUUGGGAUAGCCACGGGAAACCGUGGAUAAUACCGAAUACUUCGGGACUUCCGCAUGGAAGACUCGAGAAAGCUCCGGCGGAGAGGGAUGGGCCCGCGGCCUGUUAGCUUGUUGGUGGGGUAAUGGCCUACCAAGGCAAUGAUGGGUAGCUGGGUUGAGAGACCGACCAGCCAGAUUGGGACUGAGACACGGCCCAGACUCCUACGGGAGGCAGCAGUGGGGAAUCUUGCACAAUGGGCGAAAGCCUGAUGCAGCGACGCCGCGUGCGGGAUGAAGGCCUUCGGGUUGUAAACCGCUUUCAGCAGGGACGAGGCGAAAGUGACGGUACCUGCAGAAGAAGCCCCGGCUAACUACGUG